GACGAACGCUGGCGGCGUGCCUAAUACAUGCAAGUCGAGCGAAUCUCGAGGAGCUUGCUCCUUGAGAUUAGCGGCGGACGGGUGAGUAACACGUGGGCAACCUGCCUGUAAGACUGGGAUAACACCGGGAAACCGGUGCUAAUACCGGAUAAUUCUUUCCCUCACAUGAGGGAAAGCUGAAAGUCGGCUUUUCGCUGACACUUACAGAUGGGCCCGCGGCGCAUUAGCUAGUUGGUGAGGUAACGGCCCACCAAGGCGACGAUGCGUAGCCGACCUGAGAGGGUGAUCGGCCACACUGGGACUGAGACACGGCCCAGACUCCUACGGGAGGCAGCAGUAGGGAAUCUUCCGCAAUGGACGAAAGUCUGACGGAGCAACGCCGCGUGAGUGAUGAAGGCCUUCGGGUCGUAAAACUCUGUUGUUAGGGAAGAACAAGUACCGGAGUAACUGCCGGUACCUUGACGGUACCUAACCAGAAAGCCACGACUAACUACGUGCCAGCCGCCGCAGUAACAC
rnacentral:rRNA from 1 species